rnacentral:rRNA from 1 species
UUCCGUUUGAUCCUGGCAGAGGCUACUGCUAUUGGGAUUCGAUUAAGCCAUGCAAGUUGAAUGAAUUUAGAUUCAUGGCGUACGGCUCAGUAACACGUGGAUAACUUACCCUUAGGACUGGGAUAACUCUGGGAAACUGGGGAUAAUACCGGAUAUUAGGCUAUGUCUGCAAUGGUUUGCCUUUGAAAUGUUUUUUUUCGCCUAAGGAUAGAUCUGCGGCUGAUUAGGUCGUUGGUGGGGUAAUGGCCCACCAAGCCGAUGAUCGGUACGGGUUGUGAGAGCAAGGGCCCGGAGAUGGAACCUGAGACAAGGUUCCAGACCCUACGGGGUGCAGCAGGCGCGAAACCUCCGCAAUGUACGAAAGUGCGACGGGGGGAUCCCAAGUGUUAUGCUUAAAGGUAUGACUUUUCAUUAGUGUAAAAAGCUUUUAGAAUAAGAGCUGGGCAAGACCGGUGCCAGCCGCCGCGGUAACACCGGCAGCUCGAGUGGUAGCUGUUUUUAUUGGGCCUAAAGCGUUCGUAGCCGGUUUAAUAAGUCUUUGGUGAAAGCUUGUAGCUUAACUAUAAGAAUUGCUGGAGAUACUAUUAGACUUGAAGUCGGGAGAGGUUAGAGGUACUACCGGGGUAGGGGUGAAAUCCUAUAAUCCUGGGAGGACCACCUGUGGCGAAGGCGUCUAACUGGGACGAUUCUGACGGUGAGUAACGAAAGCCAGGGGCGCGAACCGGAUUAGAUACCCGGGUAGUCCUGGGCCGUAACGAUGUGGACUUGGUGUUUGAAUGCCUUUGAUUUGUUCCGGGGCCAAGGAAACUGUUAA